UUCGACUUAAAAAAGGGUUGAAAGGGGAGAUCAUUGUGCAAGGCAAGCUCAAUUGGUCCAAGGUCCAAGAUACUGUAAUGGACAAAGGCUCUCGGAACAACUUGGGCCCUCUGAACAUUAAGUUCAUGUAAGAUAUGGUGAGGUGAGCAGUGAUUAUAUAAAGUCGUUAAAACACUUGAUGAGCUGUCAGUUUAUAAUGCUCUUCCAAUUGCACUGCCAAGUAGCUGCAUACUUUUUCUUGUUUGAUGGUCUCGCUCGAAGAGAACUCAAUUGCUGUACCAGUACAUUUAAAUCCGGAUUAUGCGCUCUCUUCUUUAUGUAAACCCCUUGCUUAUUAUAAAGAUAUCGUUUUGAAACUCGAGUUCUUAAAGUUUGAAUUAAAGUAACUGUUUUGAUUUUUUUUCUAGAAAACUAAUAAUGUACUUGUUUGCUUGUUUUUAGUAAAGAAUAGCUGAACAUAUAGUGAUAGGUCAUUAUUAAUUGCAAUUGUUUCGUGCAGAAAUCAUUGCAAAAUGCUGCAUGGUACCUUCGGAAUGUGCCGUUCGACAGACAAAAAUAUUAGUUUCUUUCUUAAAGUGAGGAGUCGAUUUAGUGCCGUUUGUGAAAAUUUCUUACUACAGGUAAUUUGUGUUGACUUCGAAGUAUAAGAAUGAACUCUUAUUUUUGUUCGUGAUAAAUUCAAACAAGCCUCCCUUGUACAACAGGUGCUUAUAAUUUACUUGUCACAGCCUUAACAGGUAUUGUGGGCAGUGCCGGCCGACAGGCAGUAGUUAGAUCAUCAGCUAUGUAUACAAACUUGUUCCAUCUGAAAAUCGCGUUAGUUUGAAGCUUUCACAAGUGCGUACAAAAUGUCACAGGAAUCGCUUCAGCAUCAUGGAGGUUGUCAAGUCGGAGGCCUUCCUCGCAUACAGUGCAUGAGCUCCAGUCAACCUGAUGGAGGGGAACUGGGAAUUUGCGGGAUCGUCAUUACUGUCCUUUGCUAUAUCCUUGUCGUGGUAACAUUUCCAUUUUCCUUGUUCUUUUGUUUGAAGAUAGUGCAGGAAUAUGAAAGAGCUGUCAUCUUCAGACUUGGGAGAAUACUCCCCGGUGGGGCCCGGGGACCAGGGUUGUUUUUUGUUCUACCUAAGAUUGAUCAGUACAGCAAAGUGGAUUUGAGGACAGUGUCAUUUGAUGUACCCCCUCAAGAGGCUUUGACACGUGACAGUGUUACAGUCACUGUUGACGCAGUGGUGUACUUCAGGAUCCAGAAUGCAACAGUGUCGGUUACAAACGUCUCAGACGCUCAGGGUUCCACCAAACUGCUGGCUCAGACUACCUUAAGAAACAUGAUCGGUACAAAGAAUUUGAGCGAUAUCCUAAUGGAUAGAGAGGGUUUGAGUUCUCAGAUGCAGUUGUUCCUGGAUGACGCCACUGAUCCUUGGGGAGUUCGUGUAGAGAGAGUUGAGAUUAAGGAUGUCCGCCUUCCAGUCCAGUUACAGCGUGUUAUGGCGGCUGAGGCUGAAGCUACCAGGGAAGCUAAAGCUAAGGUCAUUGCUGCAGAAGGUGAAAUGACAUCAUCACGUUCUUUGAAGCAGGCCGCUGACGUAAUGGCGGAGACACCGUCGGCGAUGCAGCUUCGUUAUCUACAGACUCUGAACACCAUCUCAGCUGAAAAGAACUCCACCAUCAUCUUCCCAAUUCCUGUGGAUUUUAUGACAAAUUUUUUAAACAAGUGAAACUAACACUGGAAGUGUGAGGAUGAAGACUUUUACACCUGUAACUGUUCUAAGUCAGUCAGUCACAAUUAUGGAAGUGGCUCUCUUGCUUUAAUAGCAAUUUAAUUUGCCUUAAAAGGCGGUCGAUAACCGUGAUACCAUGACGUCUUUGAGGUAGAAUGUCAGGAUGGUUGAUGAACAAAAACAACAAAUGUCGAAACUUUUUAUAAGACAAUAUCUUGCACAAGAGGAUUUUAAUGUCUUUUGCUAAUACAAGUCAAUAAAACCUUUCUACUUUUAUAAUUGACUUUAUAAGCAACAACAUGCGACGAGAUGUCUACGCUUUACGAACUUAAAUGAGAGGGUUUUCAGAACGUUAACCAUUUAAAACAUUCAUCAUCGUAUCAAAUUUUAGUCAGCCAAACCAGACGGAGGGGGCAAAAGUUUGGUCAAUAACUACGCCAAACUCUCCAUCCAGCCCUGACGGAGUUGUAAUAAACGGAAAGUACUAUGAAUUGAAGUUCCAAACGUUGUUUUUCCUGUAUCAUCUGUUCAAAAUAAAAAUAAUUUUUCCUACAUUUUUUAAUAAUGUUAUCGUAAUUUUUUUGCUUUCUCAUUUAGGGUGCAAAACGUUUUGAUAACUAUUUCAAGUUGUUGACGGUAAUAAUGUUAUGACGAUCUAGAUAUGUUUGUUGAUUUAAUUUUACAGUACAGUACAUAGUUAGGUAGCAUCAAGUAAUUUGUACAAAGUUCAUCCUAAGCUUCUUGUUUGUUAAGUUUUUGAAACCCUCUUUACUAUGAAUUUCUUCGCUGUAUUUUGUGAAAUGACUCGAUUCUUUUAGCUGAAAACUUUUAAAUUAAAAAAAUGUAAAAAACUCG
rnacentral:misc_RNA from 1 species